UGAGUUAUUAACGGAAUAAGACGGUAUUAUCUAUCAAUUUUUAGUAUUGCAAAUUUCAAUUUAUGUUUGGUAGCCAUUUGCAUGCUCUUUAACAUUACCAGCCUUAUUACAGAUUUGAAAAUGCAUUAUAAUUUUACAGUCUACAGUAACUUUGUUGUUAAAUGAUAUUGGAUGAGUAGUUUUUUGUGGAGAAGUUUUGUAUGAAUCAUUCUUUUCAUAUACUAGUAUUUCAAGAAUUCUUGUGCAUGUUAUUGUUAUGCAUGUGCUUAACUUAUAGUCUCCUUAUUCCUCCAUUAUGUGUUUGAUGUGUCUUAACUUAUUUCAGUCAAAUGGGUAUUUCAAAACUCAUACACCUGUAAAAGUUCAGAGAACACUAUGUCCUAUAUUUAAGAAAAAAGGUCUCAAAAUUUUAAUAUGUGACGAGAAUGGUGAGACAAACAACACGACGACUAACGUGGUAUACAAUGAAAUUUUUGAUAGAUUUAAAGAGGCUAUGUGGGAAUCCAUAGUUCAGGAUUCAGAGACUUCCUGUUGAAGCCUGAGCUUUAGAGGGGUAUUGUCUUGAACAGGAAGCAAAAAGACGGCCUCUAGCAACGAGGUUUGACAGGAGAAGCAAUUCUUGCUGCUGCAGCUACUAAUUGAACCAAGUUGAACCCAGCAUCACCAUGAUUAUUUAAUGCUAGGACUGUAUUGUAUGAUUUGUUAGCUACAAAAUCACUACCCUGAUGCCGUCAGGGUUUUUAUUAAUUAUUUUUCACGAAAUUGGUUGUUUAUUGUUAUUAAUUGAUAAACUAAGAAUGAAUGCAUGUAUGUAUACCACAAAAGAUGAAAAUGUAUGAUCAUCUAUUUGUAAUUUGUUUAUUCAAUGAAUCGGCCAAUGCGGUUUUUAAUCUUUGGAAUAAA